GGGUAUAUAGCUCAGCGGCAUGAGCUUCUGCCUGGAAAGUGCAAGGUCCUGAGUUUGAUUCCCAAUGCACCCA
rnacentral:tRNA from 1 species